UGGGUGGACAUGUCCUCUUGCUUUCAGAAUCAGAUCCUUUGUGAGCACUCUGUCCAUUAAAUACAAAAUUGCCUUCAUCUUGGAUGCGGGUGUAUGGUG
rfam:Pteropus vampyrus cont1.251555, whole genome shotgun sequence.